UUGAUGGAGAGCCAGACCAUCUUGUACCUUCGUCCUCUGCAUUCCUUGUUGAGAGUGACCUGUUUCUGAUGGCAGGCUGCAUGAUUGGUCAUUGCUUUUUGCAUGGAGGUCCUCCACUGACAGGCCUAAGCCCUGCGAUUGUUCACAUCCUGUGUGGGGGCACAGUUGAAACCACCAUCAUACAAAUCAAUGACUGUCCAGACAUUGAUCUGCGGGAGAAAAUUACACUGCUUGAAGGGAGUUCUGAACUCUCAGCUGAUGAAAAGGAGAGCCUUGACAACUUGUGUCUUGCAUGGGACCUUCCUUUGAUGACAGAAAACAACCGAAGAUGGCUCUUUGAAAGGCCUCUAUGUCAUGCGGUCAUUGGAAGGUUCAUGAGGCAAAUAAAGCAAAUAAGAAAAGGGCUUAAAGAACCAUGUUGUGGCCACUCAUUAGUGAACGUCCAGAUGUAGCUCCAGUGAUUUUCCCUCGGGAGUCAAGGGCUGUCUUGACCCCACAGUGCAUUCUGGAACGCAUCUGCUGGCCUACAAUGACUGAUGAGGACGACGACAAUGAAUGCUCUGUGAUGGAUAAGAGCCGCAUCACGUGGUACCUUCGCCGGU